GUCUAUGGUCACAACACCCUGAAUGCACUUAAACCUGGUGUGAUCUUGAAAGCUCGGCAGAGCCAGGCCUGGCUAAUAUUUUGGUGGAAGAAUGCUGAGUGAAAAAUGCUGGGCAUGAAUGGGUU
rnacentral:rRNA from 1 species